UAGGGAAUAUUGCACAAUGGGCGAAAGCCUGAUGCAGCAACGCCGCGUGCGCGAUGAAGGCCUUCGGGUCGUAAAGCGCUUUUCGGGGAGAUGAGGAAGGACAGUAUCCCCGGAAUAAGGCUCGGCUAACUACGUGCCAGCAGCCGCGGUAAAACGUAGGAGCCAAGCGUUAUCCGAAUUCACUGGGCGUAAAGCGCGUGCAGGCGGUCUGGUAAGUUGGAUGUGAAAUCUCCCGGCUCAACUAGGAGAGGACGUUCAAUACUGUCAGACUAGAGGACGGCAGAGGGAGGUGGAAUUCCCGGUGUAGUGGUGAAAUGCGUAGAUAUCGGGAGGAACACCAGUGGCGAAAGCGGCCUCCUGGGCCGUUCCUGACGCUCAGAUGCGAAAGCUAGGGGAGCGAACGGG
rnacentral:rRNA from 1 species